GGCGAACGCUGGCGGCGUGCCUAAUACAUGCAAGUAGGACGCUGAAGGAGGAGCUUGCUCUUCUGGAUGAGUUGCGAACGGGUGAGUAACGCGUAGGUAACCUGCCUGGUAGCGGGGGAUAACUAUUCGAAACGAUAGCUAAUACCGCAUAACAGUAGAUGUUGCAUGACAUUCGCUUAAAAGGUGCAAUUGCACCACUACCAGAUGGACCUGCGUUGUAUUAGCUAGUUGGCGGGGUAACGGCACACCAAGGCGACGAUACAUAGCCGACCUGAGAGGGUGAACGGCCACACUAGGACUGAGACACGGCCCAGACUCCUACAGGAGGCAGCAGAAGGGAAGCUUCGGCAAUGGAAGGAAAUCUGACCGAGCAACGCCGAGGGGGGGGAGAAGGGUCUCGGGUCGGAAAAAUCGGUUUGAAGGGAGGAACAAGUAUGAGAGUGGAAAGUUCACGUUGUGACGGUAUCUGAACAGAAAGAGACGGCUAACUACGUG
rnacentral:rRNA from 1 species